rnacentral:rRNA from 1 species
AGCUCAGUUGGUAGAGCAGUUGACUUUUAAUCAAUUGGUCGCAGGUUCGAAUCCUGCACGACCCACUUAGCUCAGUUGGGAGAGCACCUGCCUUACAAGCAGGGGGUCACUGGUUCUAGCCCGGUAUCGCCCACCAUCUUUAAGCGCAUUUUAACUGAAUACAUAGGUUAAUGAGGCGAACCGGGGGAACUGAAACAUCUAAGUACCCCGAGGAAAAGAAAUCAACCGAGAUUCCGAAAGUAGCGGCGAGCGAAAUUGGACUAGCCCUUAAGCUUUACACGCGUUAGACGAACGGUCUGGAAAGUCCGACGAUACAGGGUGAUAGUCCCGUAGUUGACGACGUGUGUUCAGUGAAAUCGAGUAGGGCGGGACACGUGAUAUCCUGUCUGAAUAUGGGGGGACCAUCCUCCAAGGCUAAAUACUACUGACUGACCGAUAGUGAACCAGUACCGUGAGGGAAAGGCGAAAAGAACCCCUGUGAGGGGAGUGAAAUAGAACCUGAAACCGUGUACGUACAAGCAGUAGGAGCAGGCUUUGUCCUGUGACUGCGUACCUUUUGUAUAAUGGGUCAGCGACUUAUAUUCAGUGGCAAGGUUAACCAUCUAGGGGAGCCGUAGGGAAACCGAGUCUUAACUGGGCGUUCAGUCUCUGGAUAUAGACCCGAAACCAGGUGAUCUAGCCAUGGGCAGGUUGAAGGUUGAGUAACAUCAACUGGAGGACCGAACCGACUAAUGUUGAAAAAUUAGCGGAUGACUUGUGGCUAGGGGUGAAAGGCCAAUCAAACCUGGAGAUAGCUGGUUCUCCCCGAAAGCUAUUUAGGUAGCGCCUCGGACGAAUACUACUGGGGGUAGAGCACUGUUAAGGCUAGGGGGUCAUCCCGACUUACCAACCCUUUGCAAACUCCGAAUACCAGUAAGUACUAUCCGGGAGACACACGGCGGGUGCUAACGUCCGUCGUGGAGAGGGAAACAACCCAGACCGCCAGCUAAGGUCCCAAAUUACUACUAAGUGGGAAACGAUGUGGGAAGGCUCAGACAGCCAGGAUGUUGGCUUAGAAGCAGCCAUCAUUUAAAGAAAGCGUAAUAGCUCACUGGUCGAGUCGGCCUGCGCGGAAGAUGUAACGGGGCUAAGUAGUAAACCGAAGCUGCGGCAAUAUACUUUUGUAUAUUGGGUAGGGGAGCGUUCUGUAAGCGGUUGAAGGUGUGUGGUAACGCAUGCUGGACGUAUCAGAAGUGCGAAUGCUGACAUGAGUAACGAUAAAGGGGGUGAAAAACCUCCUCGCCGGAAGACCAAGGGUUCCUGUCCAACGUUAAUCGGGGCAGGGUAAGUCGACCCCUAAGGCGAGGCCGAAAGGCGUAGUCGAUGGGAAACGGGUUAAUAUUCCCGUACUUCUUACAAUUGCGAUGGGGGGACGGAGAAGGCUAGGUGGGCCUGGCGACGGUUGUCCAGGUUCAAGUGCGUAGGCUUAAGAGUUAGGUAAAUCCGGCUCUUUCUAAGGCUGAGACACGACGUCGAGCAUCUACGGAUGUGAAGUCAUUGAUGCCAUGCUUCCAGGAAAAGCCUCUAAGCUUCAGAUUGUAAGGAAUCGUACCCCAAACCGACACAGGUGGUCGGGUAGAGAAUACCAAGGCGCUUGAGAGAACUCGGGUGAAGGAACUAGGCAAAAUGGUACCGUAACUUCGGGAGAAGGUACGCUCUUGAUGGUGAAGUCCCUCGCGGAUGGAGCUGACGAGAGUCGCAGAUACCAGGUGGCUGCAACUGUUUAUUAAAAACACAGCACUGUGCAAAAUCGUAAGAUGACGUAUACGGUGUGACGCCUGCCCGGUGCCGGAAGGUUAAUUGAUGGGGUUAGACUUCGGUCGAAGCUCUUGAUCGAAGCCCCGGUAAACGGCGGCCGUAACUAUAACGGUCCUAAGGUAGCGAAAUUCCUUGUCGGGUAAGUUCCGACCUGCACGAAUGGCGUAAUGAUGGCCACGCUGUCUCCACCCGAGACUCAGUGAAAUUGAAAUCGCUGUGAAGAUGCAGUGUACCCGCGGCUAGACGGAAAGACCCCGUGAACCUUUACUACAGCUUGGCACUGAACAUUGACCCUACAUGUGUAGGAUAGGUGGGAGGCUUUGAAGCACGUACGCCAGUAUGUGUGGAGCCGUCCUUGAAAUACCACCCUUGUAGUGUUGAUGUUCUAACGUCGACCCCUUAUCGGGGUUGCGGACAGUGCCUGGUGGGUAGUUUGACUGGGGCGGUCUCCUCCCAAAGAGUAACGGAGGAGCACGAAGGUGGGCUAAUCACGGUUGGACAUCGUGAGGUUAGUGCAAUGGCAUAAGCCCGCUUGACUGCGAGAAUGACAAUUCGAGCAGGUGCGAAAGCAGGUCAUAGUGAUCCGGUGGUUCUGAAUGGAAGGGCCAUCGCUCAACGGAUAAAAGGUACUCCGGGGAUAACAGGCUGAUACCGCCCAAGAGUUCAUAUCGACGGCGGUGUUUGGCACCUCGAUGUCGGCUCAUCACAUCCUGGGGCUGAAGUCGGUCCCAAGGGUAUGGCUGUUCGCCAUUUAAAGUGGUACGCGAGCUGGGUUUAGAACGUCGUGAGACAGUUCGGUCCCUAUCUGCCGUGGGCGUUGGAAGAUUGAAGGGGGCUGCUCCUAGUACGAGAGGACCGGAGUGGACGAACCUCUGGUGUUCGGGUUGUGUCGCCAGACGCAUUGCCCGGUAGCUAAGUUCGGAAUCGAUAACCGCUGAAAGCAUCUAAGCGGGAAGCGAGCCCUGAGAUGAGUCUUCCCUGAUACUUUAAGUAUCCUAAAGGGUUGUCGGAGACUACGACGUUGAUAGGUCAGGUGUGUAAGUGCUGUGAGGCAUUGAGCUAACUGAUACUAAUUGCCCGUGAGGCUUAACCAU